rnacentral:tRNA from 1 species
GGGCUCGUAGCUCAGUGGUUAGAGCACCUGUCUUAUAAGCAGGCGGUCGUGGGUUCAAAACGUGAAAGGAAAUUGCGUGAAAAUCCCAUCGAGCCCA